rnacentral:rRNA from 1 species
AUUGAACGCUGGCGGCAGGCUUAACACAUGCAAGUCGAGCGGGGUGAUGGUGCUUGCACUAUCACUUAGCGGCGGACGGGUGAGUAAUGCUUAGGAAUCUGCCUAUUAGUGGGGGACAACAUCUCGAAAGGGAUGCUAAUACCGCAUACGUCCUACGGGAGAAAGCAGGGGAUCACUUGUGACCUUGCGCUAAUAGAUGAGCCUAAGUCGGAUUAGCUAGUUGGUGGGGUAAAGGCUUACCAAGGCGACGAUCUGUAGCGGGUCUGAGAGGAUGAUCCGCCAGACUGGGACGGAGACACGGCCCAGACUCCUACGGGAGGCAGCAGUAGGGAAUAUUGGACAAUGGGGGGAACCCGGAUCCAGCCAUGCCGCGUGUGUGAAGAAGGCCUUAUGGUUGUAAAGCACUUUAAGCGAGGAGGAGGCUCUUUUGGUUAAUACCCAAGAUGAGUGGGCGUUACUCGCAGAAUAAGCACCGGCUAACUCUGUGCCAGCCGCCGCGGUAA